CCUACGGGGGGCAGCAGUGGGGAAUAUUGCACAAUGGGGGAAACCCUGAUCCAGCGACGCCGCGUGAGCGAGGAAGUCUUUCGGUAUUUAAAGCUCUAUCAGCAGGGCCGAAAAAAGACGGUACUUGACUAAGAAGCCCCGGCUAACUACGUGCCAGCAGCCGCGGUAAUCCGGAGGGGGCACGCGUGAUCCGGAUUUCCUGGGUGUAACGGGAGCGUAGAGGGCAAGGCAAGCUAGAGGUGAAAGGGCAGGGCUCAACCCUGUACAUGCUUUUGGAACUGGGGUGCUAGAGUGCAGGAGAGGUAAGUGGAAUGCCUAGUGUAGCGGUGAAAUGCGUAGAUAUUAGGAGGAACACCAGUGGCGAAGGCGGCUUACUGGACUGUAACUGACGUUGAGGCUCGAAAGCGUGGGGAGCAAACAGGAUUAGAUACCCCAGUAGUC
rnacentral:rRNA from 1 species